CGCGGGUUUACAGGCGGAAGUGAGGGGCGAACCCGACGCAGCGCGCCCCGUUUGAAACCGGAGACUCAGUCCUGCUGAGACGCGAGUGAUGAAAGAAGGCCAGCAUCUGGUGGGAAAGAACAGCGGAAAAACUUCAGCCUUGGGUCCUCCUUUUGUGUCAGGCAAGCCUUUACUGCAGACCAUUUAUGUGCCAGGCACCACACGUUGAGAUGCUGGUUCAAAGAUGAAGAAAGUGAGUUUUCUAUCCUUGGGGAACGCAGUGUGGAAGACAGAUAGCAGGAAGUUUUUUCCAGCUGGUCACAGAGUGGAAACAAGAGACAUUCCUAGUGUGAGAAGGAUUUCAUGCACAAUUACUGACUGGUGGCCUGCAAAAGCUGAGAGCAACCCCCAGCUGACAGUGUUCCAGGAAAGGAGAACCUCCGUCUUACAACCACAAGGAAUCCCUGACAACCUAAAUGAGCCUGGAUACAGACUCUUACCCAGAGCCUCCGGAUAAGACCCCUGCCCUUGAUUUUGGCCUGGUGAAAAUCUAAGCAGAGAACCA